rnacentral:pre_miRNA from 1 species
UUUCUACUCCCUCCGUCCAAAAAUACUUGUCAUCAAAAUGGAUAAAAAGAGAUGUAUCUAAAACUAAAAUACGUCUAGAUACAUUUCCUUUUAUCCAUUUUGAUGACAAGUAAUUCCGGACGGAGGGAGUAUUUG